rnacentral:rRNA from 1 species
CCUACGGGUGGCUGCAGUGGGGAAUAUUGGACAAUGGGCGAAAGCCUGAUCCAGCCAUGCCGCGUGUGUGAAGAAGGCCUUCGGGUUGUAAAGCACUUUCAGUGGGGAAGAAAGCCUUGGGGCUAAUACCCUCGAGGAAGGACAUCACCCACAGAAGAAGCACCGGCUAACUCCGUGCCAGCAGCCGCGGUAAUACGGAGGGUGCGAGCGUUAAUCGGAAUUACUGGGCGUAAAGCGCGCGUAGGCGGUCUGAUAAGCCGGUUGUGAAAGCCCCGGGCUCAACCUGGGAACGGCAUCCGGAACUGUCAGGCUAGAGUGCAGGAGAGGAAGGUAGAAUUCCAGGUGUAGCGGUGAAAUGCGUAGAGAUCGGGAGGAAUACCAGUGGCGAAGGCGGCCUUCUGGAAUGACACUGACGCUGAGGUGCGAAAGCGUGGGUAGCAAACAGGAUUAGAUACCCGAGUAGUC